CAGAUGAAUUAAUAAUACCAAAAAUGUACUACAUAAAAUGGAAUUGCUUCUGUAAGAAAGUAAUAAAUCAAUAAAUAUAAAAAUAUUCUAUUAUUACGUAUUUUUUAAAGACCAGUAAUUUUCACUGGUUUUGGUAGAAAUAGCUUCGUGUUAACUAUCGGUAGUUCUAGCGUUGAUAGGAAUUUAAGGGUUGAAACUCGUUUUCCUCGAUAAAGUUGCUUGUAACAUCUCGAUUUUUGAUUAGUCCUCCCAUAAAUCUCUUUCCUUCCUCUUUACAUGAUACAUAUAUAGAUGGUAACCGGAAGUUUCAUUUCACGUUUCAGAUCAACGUUCUACCCAUUGAUUGGGAAAGACGAGCCGGAUUAGUAGCUGACCAAUUCUGUGUACACGUGCCAGCAAAAUUAUUGUUUUUCUUGUUUGGUGUUCGUGUAGGAGAAGGCAGAAAUAAGGAAAAGAAAUUAUCAUGCUGGAGUCUCGCCGGAAGUGUCUUGUAUAAAUACAGCUGUCGCGCGCUACGCAAAAGGAGAGCUGGUGAACGGGGUAAGCGAUACUCCACCAUCGCAGACAUUCUUUCGUCGAAGGAAGAAAGGCGUGAAGAGAGAAGAGGGUUAAAAAAUUUGUGAAAGGAAACCAGAUCUAAAAAUGUCUAAUCCUCCCGAUCUUUUUCGAAACGUUUUUAUCCCUUCUAAUAUUAAAUCGCCAACUUUUGCUACGAAUGUAGGAUAUUAAGACAUUGGGCACGCGAUUCGAGUGAUUUCAGAAGACUCGACAAGAGAAUAUUGCGAAAUUUGGAAAUUUGUAAGGAAAAUAAUUACAGAUAAAAAAGAUCGAUGAUUGAUGAAGGAAGAAACGAUAGAAAAGAAAACAAAACCAUACACGUCAAUGAAAAUUUGAUAAUUAUAACUAUCGAAAGAAAAGAAAACUGAAAAAUAACUGAGCUACGAAAUUAACGCAUUUUUAAAUUACUAAAUUGUUAAAUUAACAAAUAGAAUUCUAAACUUUCUUGCGGAACAAUCAUUUUCUGUAUUUAAGAAUUGAACAAAUUGUAAUUAAUUAUAAUAAAUACCACUGGUAUCAUUUAAAAUA